rnacentral:rRNA from 1 species
GAUGAACGCUGGCGGCGUGCCUAAUACAUGCAAGUCGAGCGAACAGAUGAGGAGCUUGCUCCUCUGACGUUAGCGGCGGACGGGUGAGUAACACGUGGAUAACCUACCUAUAAGACUGGGAUAACUUCGGGAAACCGGAGCUAAUACCGGAUAAUAUAUUGAACCGCAUGGUUCAAUAGUGAAAGACGGUUUUGCUGUCACUUAUAGAUGGAUCCGCGCCGCAUUAGCUAGUUGGUAAGGUAACGGCUUACCAAGGCAACGAUGCGUAGCCGACCUGAGAGGGUGAUCAGCCACACUGGAACUGAGACACGGUCCAGACUCCUACGGGAGGCAGCAGUAGGGAAUCUUCCGCAAUGGGCGAAAGCCUGACGGAGCAACGCCGCGUGAGUGAUGAAGGUCUUCGGAUUGUAAAACUCUGUUAUUAGGGAAGAACAAAUGUGUAAGUAACUAUGCACGUCUUGACGGUACCUAAUCAGAAAGCCACGGCUAACUACGUG